CCUACGGGAGGCAGCAGUGGGGAAUAUUGCACAAUGGGGGAAACCCUGAUGCAGCGACGCCGCGUGGGCGAGGAAGUACCUCGGUAUGUAAAGCCCUAUCAGCAGGGAAGAAACAGGACAGUACCUGACUAAGAAGCCCCGGCUAACUACGUGCCAGCAGCCGCGGUAAUACGUAGGGGGCAAGCGUUAUCCGGAUUCACUGGGCGUAAAGGGAGCGCAGGCGGCAUGGCAAGUCUGAUGUGAAAACCCGGGGCCCAACCCCGGGAGUGCAUUGGAAACUGCCAGGCUGGAGUGUCGGAGGGGUAAGCGGAAUUCCUAGUGUAGCGGUGAAAUGCGUAGAUAUUAGGAGGAACACCAGUGGCGAAGGCGGCUUACUGGACGACUACUGACGCUGAGGCUCGAAAGCGUGGGGAGCAAACAGGAUUAGAUACCCCGGUA
rnacentral:rRNA from 1 species